rnacentral:lncRNA from 1 species
AAUAUGUAAGUAAUUGUGCAACAAAUUGAUUUGCAUAAUCCCAAGACUCUGACUCUAAAAGUUCAAUGCUAAAAUCUCCCAUAACGUAACAGAGUUUAUUUUCACUGUUAAUUUUUCCUAAAAUUUCAUUCCUUGUAUUUUUAAAUGUGCCCUAAUAAAAAGUGCCGAAUACCACUCGUUUUGAAGACUGAAAUCGUGCAUAACGAUUGUAGCAGAGCUUUUCCACAUAUGUGCAGUCCUCAGUCUCUUGAUGUUUCAAAGCAAUUAUCCUUUUUUUUUAUCAAUUAUGGAAAUCCACUUUUAUGUGGGGGCUGUCUUUUUGACAACCCGCAGUAAAGGGAUACGACAAACUUUGACUGAAAAUGAACGUUUUCUAUUUGUUACUUAUUUCUUAUUUUCUACUUUUAACCUAUAGGUACGAAAUAAUGACAAAUUGUUGGAAAGUUGAACCAAGCGAGAGACCCACAUUUGAAGAUUUGCACGAAUCCCUUAAUGCCAUGCUAAUGGGUGAUGAGGUAUUAUUUAUCUUAAAAGAAAUCAUUCACUUCAUAUUAAAACAUCAUGCGGAAAAUUAAACAAACAAUGCUGUCUGCUUUCUCAUGACUUUGUUUUCUUGUAGUAACAUGGUUAAUGUGAACGCGAGAGUGGAUUACGCCCUAAAAAGCCGUAUUGCCCCCGUCUGAAUAGCUUUAUUUCUGAUUCGGACGAAGCAGAAAUUCGACGUUUAGAGUGAAAAAAAAGCUAAGUCAACGCAUCAAAGCGGCAUAAAGUAAACGUUUUAAAAAAAUUUUCCAAUGUUCCGAACGCUUGAACAAAUAACACUAUAAAACGACAGGAGAAAAACGGCAAAUUAGUUGUCAGAAGUUUUAGGUAAUUUAUGUUUUAAAUUAAUGAAAACUAUAAACAUGAGAACUUACUUGAACAUUUUUGGGAAAAAUGGACGCAACAUAGGCUAAGGCUCGUCAAAGCUUUCUUAAUUAAUUUUAAUGCAAAUAACAGAUUUUCCAAUUAUGGUUUAGGUACUUGUUAUUCACUUUAUCUCAAUACUCAAAAUAGCUGCAUGCUUUCAUGUACCUGUAUGUAGCAGAUGAAAAUUAAGUUGGUCUAGAAACGUAGUUGCCUUUCUAUAUUUAUAUAUCAAUGUUAAGUUGUUUCUAAUUUUGUAUAGAGCGCGGAUACCGAAACCAUAUUUGAUCUUUCAAUCACAAAAAAUAAUCAAAUAAUACAGAACUCUCGAAAUAUUUUUGGAAAGUAAAAGAAAACAAACAAGAUUUCGACAUAACUUGGUUAGUACUAAAACACACUUUUUCUACGGGAGGAUCAAAAAGUUGUAAUUAACAAAAAAUCGGAAAAGUUUCGACCUGUAGUCAUAAAACGAAAUUCCAACUAAACAACGAUAGCAAUGGAAGGAAUGCAUGUAUUGUUUGAUGCCCACACGCCCACGUUUCCGACUGCAAACAUUUAUUUAUCAAUAAGCAGUCCAUUUUUCAAAAUUUGGCAGCCACCUGAUUUUUCUUGAAUAAAACAGGCUGUUGUGGCAACGUUUUGAGGUAAAAUUAUUUCAUUUACUUAUUUAUAUCUUUAUUAGAAAUCGUACAUCAAUAUCACGCAAGUGGUUGGCGAAGGAACACUGACAACGACAAUGGAACCAAGAAGCGUUUCUACUGGAGAUGGGUCUGAAAAUGCAUGACGAACACAGCAGUGUGAUAAGCAAUU